rnacentral:ncRNA from 2 species
AUCUGGAGAGCGGUGCAGCGGGCGAGCCCGUGGGCACCCGCCGAAGGGGACGUCCGCGAAAAGCCUCGCCAGGGCCGGUCGCGGAUCAAGCUCUCAGGCACCGGGACAGAU